CUGGGCUCUGCCAGGACGGCUGUGGGGUCGCCUUACCUCGGGGUAUCCACUCUGCAGUGGACCAGUUCCCGCCAGGGGCAAAGGGUAGGAAGGAGAGCAGGAUCUGCUGUAGGAACGCAGCUACCGCGCCACUAUCACGAAGACACAGCAGGCUCGGGGCACGAGACGAGCUGGAGACCGCGCUGCCUAGUCUGGGUAACCUGGGAAGCAGAGGGUAGUAAGUGGCGCCUUAAGAUAACCCUGUAGCAGCAGCAGUGGCGGCCAGAGGAGGCUGCUCAGGGAACAAGCGGCUGUAGUAGUCUCUGGGGCGAUUGGAGUGACCGAAGCCAAGGCAGUUCAGUGCCUCUUGUGUUCUUAUUUUUUAACCUCUGACUAUGCAAUUCUGAAACCUCCCCCAUUCGGGGGACGAGACAGCCUGAUAGACACCUUCUACUCUCCUUCCUCCCGCCGUGGUCUCGAGAACAGAAGGAUCUCUCCCUAACGCCUUUCACCAUUAAGAGGAAAGCGAUGGAGGAGCUGAGCGCUGAUGAGAUUCGACGGAGGCGCCUUGCACGACUUGCUGGUGGACAGACCUCUCAGCCAACCACCCCACUAACCUCUCCCCAGAGGGAGAACCCUCCGGGGCCUCCCAUAGCGGCAUCAGCCCCAGGACCCUCUCAGAGUCUUGGUCUCAAUGUCCACAACAUGACCCCAGCUACCUCCCCAAUAGGUGCAUCAGGAGUAGCCCAUCGAAGCCAGAGCAGUGAAGGAGUCAGUUCUCUCAGCAGCUCGCCCUCUAAUAGCCUUGAAACGCAAUCUCAGUCUCUCUCACGUUCCCAGAGCAUGGAUAUUGAUGGUGUCUCAUGUGAGAAAAGCAUGUCCCAGGUGGAUGUGGAUUCAGGAAUUGAAAACAUGGAGGUUGAUGAAAAUGAUCGAAGAGAAAAACGGAGCCUCAGUGAUAAGGAGCCUUCCUCGGGCCCUGAAGUGUCUGAAGAGCAGGCCUUACAGCUGGUCUGUAAGAUCUUCCGUGUCUCUUGGAAGGACCGGGACAGAGAUGUCAUCUUUCUUUCUUCUCUUUCGGCACAAUUGAAGCAGAACCCAAAAGAAGUGUUCUCCGAUUUUAAGGACUUGAUUGGCCAGAUUUUAAUGGAAGUGCUAAUGAUGUCCACUCAGACUAGAGAUGAAAACCCAUUUGCCAGUCUGACAGCCACAUCACAGCCAAUUGCUGCAGCAGCACGGUCACCAGACAGAAAUCUCUUGCUAAAUACUGGCUCCAAUCCAGGAACAAGCCCCAUGUUCUGCAACGUGGGUUCCUUUGGUGCCAGCUCUUUGUCUAGUUUGGGAGCCUCUGGUGGAGCAAGUAAUUGGGAUUCCUACAGUGACCAUUUCACCAUUGAAACCUGCAAAGAGACAGAUAUGCUGAACUACCUCAUCGAGUGUUUCGACCGAGUUGGAAUAGAGGAAAAAAAAGCACCAAAGAUGUGCAGCCAGCCAGCAGUCAGCCAGCUUCUGAGCAACAUCCGCUCACAGUGCAUAUCCCAUACUGCUUUAGUACUACAAGGCUCCCUAACACAGCCCAGGUCCUUGCAGCAGCCGUCCUUCCUAGUGCCGUAUAUGCUGUGUAGGAAUCUCCCAUAUGGCUUCAUUCAGGAACUGGUGAGAACCACUCACCAGGAUGAAGAAGUGUUCAAGCAGAUAUUUAUCCCCAUUUUACAAGGCCUGGCUCUUGCUGCCAAAGAGUGCUCCCUCGAUAGUGACUACUUUAAAUACCCCCUCAUGGCACUAGGUGAGCUCUGUGAAACCAAGUUUGGAAAGACACACCCUGUGUGCAAUUUGGUUGCUUCUUUGCCGUUGUGGUUGCCGAAAUCCUUAAGUCCUGGCUGUGGGCGGGAGCUGCAGAGACUUUCUUACUUGGGGGCUUUCUUUAGCUUCUCCGUCUUUGCAGAAGAUGAUGUUAAAGUGGUUGAAAAAUACUUCUCAGGGCCUGCCAUUACCCUGGAAAACACUCGUGUGGUUAGCCAAUCAUUGCAGCAUUACUUAGAGCUCGGAAGGCAAGAGCUUUUUAAGAUUCUGCAUAGUAUUUUGUUCAAUGGCGAAACCCGUGAGGCUGCUCUCAGUUACAUGGCGGCUGUCGUCAAUGCCAAUAUGAAGAAAGCACAGAUGCAGACAGAUGAUAGAUUAGUAUCUACAGAUGGAUUUAUGCUGAAUUUCCUUUGGGUACUGCAGCAGCUAAGUACAAAAAUCAAGUUAGAAACAGUUGAUCCCACGUAUAUUUUUCACCCAAGAUGUCGGAUUACUCUUCCAAAUGAUGAGACACGUGUGAAUGCCACGAUGGAAGAUGUGAAUGACUGGCUGACUGAACUCUAUGGCGAUCAGCCUCCAUUUUCUGAGCCGAAAUUCCCUACGGAGUGCUUCUUUCUCACCCUGCAUGCUCACCACCUGUCUAUUCUGCCUAGUUGCCGUCGCUAUAUCCGCAGACUCCGGGCUAUCCGGGAGCUCAAUAGAACUGUAGAAGAUUUGAAAAAUAAUGAAAGCCAAUGGAAAGAUUCCCCACUGGCAACCAGACACCGCGAAAUGCUGAAGCGCUGUAAAACUCAGCUUAAGAAACUGGUACGGUGCAAGGCCUGUGCUGAUGCUGGCCUACUUGACGAGAGCUUCCUGAGAAGAUGUCUGAAUUUUUAUGGCCUUCUCAUUCAGCUGCUGCUCCGCAUCCUGGACCCCGCAUAUCCCGAUAUAACGCUGCCUUUAAAUUCAGAUGUCCCCAAGGUAUUUGCAGCAUUGCCUGAGUUUUAUGUAGAAGAUGUUGCAGAAUUUUUAUUUUUUAUUGUACAAUACUCUCCCCAGGCGCUUUAUGAGCCCUGUACUCAGGAUAUUGUGAUGUUCCUUGUUGUGAUGUUGUGCAACCAGAACUACAUCCGAAACCCAUAUUUGGUGGCCAAACUGGUAGAAGUCAUGUUUAUGACCAACCCUGCUGUUCAGCCGCGAACCCAGAAGUUUUUUGAAAUGAUUGAGAACCAUCCUCUCUCCACCAAGUUGUUGGUACCUUCCCUGAUGAAGUUUUAUACAGAUGUUGAGCAUACCGGAGCCACCAGCGAGUUUUAUGACAAGUUCACAAUUCGCUAUCACAUUAGCACCAUUUUUAAAAGCCUUUGGCAAAACAUAGCUCACCAUGGCACCUUUAUGGAGGAGUUCAACUCCGGGAAGCAGUUUGUUCGCUAUAUAAACAUGUUGAUAAACGACACGACGUUUUUGCUUGAUGAAAGUCUGGAGUCUCUGAAGCGAAUCCAUGAAGUGCAGGAAGAGAUGAAGAACAAAGAACAGUGGGACCAGUUGCCCCGGGAUCAGCAGCAGGCCCGUCAGUCUCAGCUUGCUCAGGAUGAGCGCGUGUCCCGCUCUUAACUCGCCCUGGCCACCGGAACUUGGACCCCGAUUGGCGGCAAUGCUGAACUUUAAUCUUCAGCAACUCUGUGGCCCCAAGUGCCGUGACCUGAAAGUUGAAAACCCUGAGAAGUACGGCUUUGAACCAAAGAAGCUGUUGGACCAACUGACGGAUAUUUACUUACAGCUGGACUGUGCCCGGUUCGCGAAAGCCAUUGCUGACGACCAGAGAUCCUACAGUAAGGAGUUGUUUGAAGAAGUAAUUUCCAAGAUGCGGAAGGCAGGGAUCAAAUCCACAAUAGCGAUAGAAAAAUUUAAGCUGCUCGCCGAGAAAGUGGAGGAGAUAGUGGCCAAGAACGCACGCGCAGAAAUUGACUACAGUGACGCUCCUGAUGAGUUCAGAGACCCCCUGAUGGACACCCUCAUGACGGACCCCAUGCGGCUGCCCUCCGGCACCAUCAUGGACCGCUCCAUUAUCCUGCGGCACCUGCUCAACUCCCCCACGGACCCCUUCAACCGGCAGACGCUGACAGAGAGCAUGCUGGAACCAGUGCCAGAACUGAAAGAGCAGAUUCAGGCAUGGAUGAGAGAGAAACAGAACAGCGAUCACUAAACCGUUCCGCCGCCCACCCUCUGCUAGAUACAGCCAAGGCCAACGAGGCAAGCAGAAGCAGCGGCCGCAGCAAAGCUGCCGUUCACGUGUUGGAGGCCAAAUGUGGCAAACCACCCCAGGCCACCCAGAGCGAGCGAAUGCCGAGACCUGAGAGGACAUGGAUGAGAAGAGGAGCCCGGUUCCUGUACAUAUAUUUAAGUGACAAACACGCUCAAAAGCUUAAAGGACAGGUUUUAUGGUUGCUUGUGUAAUAAAGCACGUCCUUCGUAUGUCAUAGUUUGGGGCAACGGAAGUCUUUUAGUGAUGGCUAAUGGGUCUGGGCAGCAUCCCUUCAUGAAUUUUUUUUUUAAUCCAAUAUCCGUUGAUUUGAUUGUGAUUAGAGAACCUUGGACAUUUUGCUGCUAAAGAAUCUUUUCUCCCGUCUCCCCCUUCCUGACCCUACUUGCACUGCUGUGGAUUUUUUUAAGAGAAGCAAAAACAAAAAUAAACUCCUCUCCCUGGCCCACCAAACAUAUAUUCUGUGAGAUAACUGUGCCUGCUACCAAGUGUUAAUCCUGGGAUCGUAUUUUUAUAUCAUAUUCACAUAUUUGUUUUUUUAAUUGGUGUUAGAUGACAUGAUUAAUAAAAAAGGCAAGAUAUUUUC